CGACGUCGCAUGCUCCCGGCCGCCAUGGCGGCCGCGGGAAUUCGAUUCCGUCAAUUCCUUUGAGUUUUAAUCUUGCGACCGUACUCCCCAGGCGGAAUGCUUAAUCCGUUAGGUGUGUCACCGAGCAGCAUGCUACCCGACGACUGGCAUUCAUCGUUUACGGUGUGGACUACCAGGGUAUCUAAUCCUGUUUGCUCCCCACACUUUCGCACCUCAGCGUCAGUAUCGAGCCAGUGAGCCGCCUUCGCCACUGGUGUUCCUCCGAAUAUCUACGAAUUUCACCUCUACACUCGGAAUUCCACUCACCUCUCUCGAACUCAAGACUACCAGUAUCAAGGGCAGUUCCGGGGUUGAGCCCCGGGAUUUCACCCCUGACUUAAUAGUCCGCCUACGUGCGCUUUACGCCCAGUAAUUCCGAACAACGCUAACCCCCUCCGUAUUACCGCGGCUGCUGGCACGGAGUUAGCCGGGGUUUCUUUACCAGGUACUGUCAUUAUCAUCCCUGGCGAAAGUGCUUUACGACCCUAGGGCCUUCAUCACACACGCGGCAUGGCUAGAUCAGGCUUGCGCCCAUUGUCUAAGAUUCCCCACUGCUGCCUCCCGUAGGCAAUCACUAGUGAAUUCGCGGCCGCCUGCAGGUCGACCAUAUGGGAGAGCUCCCAACGCGUUGGAUGCAUAGCUUGAGUAUUCUAUAGUGUCACCUAAAUAGCUUGGCGUAAUCAUGGUCAUAGCUGUUUCCUGUGUGAAAUUGUUAUCCGCUCACAAUUCCACACAACAUACGAGCCGGAAGCAUAAAGUGUAAAGCCUNNNGUGCCUAAUGAGUGAGCUAACUCACAUUAAUUGCGUUGCGCUCACUGCCCGCUUUCCAGUCGGG
rnacentral:rRNA from 1 species